CAGCCGCCGCGGGAAUACGGAGGGGGCUAGCGUUGUUCGGAAUUACCGGGCGUAAAGCGCACGUAGGCGGCUUGGUAAGUUAGAGGUGAAAGCCUGGAGCUCAACUCCAGAAUUGCCUUUAAGACUGCCGAGCUAGCAGGUGAGAGAGGUAAGUGGAAUUCCGAGUGUAGAGGUGAAAUUCGUAGAUAUUCGGAAGAACACCAGUGGCGAAGGCGGCUUACUGGCUCAUACUGGACGCUGAGGUGCGAAAGCGUGGGGAGCAAACAGGAUUAGAGACCCCCGUAGUCCCUGUCUCUUAUAC
rnacentral:rRNA from 1 species